AUUGAACGCUGGCGGCAUGCUUUACACAUGCAAGUCGAACGGUAACAGGGAGCUUGCUCCGCUGACGAGUGGCGAACGGGUGAGUAAUGCGUCGGAACGUGCCGAGUAGUGGGGGAUAACGCAGCGAAAGUUGUGCUGAUACCGCAUACGUACUGAGGUAGAAAGUGGGGGACCUUCGGGCCUCACGCUAUUCGAGCGGCCGACGUCUGAUUAGCUAGUAGGUGAGGUAAAGGCUCACCUAGGCGACGAUCAGUAGCGGGUCUGAGAGGAUGAUCCGCCACACUGGGACUGAGACACGGCCCAGACUCCUACGGGAGGAAGCAGGGGGGAAUUUUGGACAAUGGGCGAAAGCCUGAUCCAGCCAUGCCGCGUGUCUGAAGAAGGCCUUCGGGUUGUAAAGGACUUUUGUCGGGGAGGAAAACCCCAGCGUUAAUACCGCUGGGGGAUGACAGUACCUGAAGAAUAAGCACCGGCUAACUACGUGCCAGCCGCCGCCGUAA
rnacentral:rRNA from 1 species